rnacentral:rRNA from 1 species
UCCUACGGGAGGCAGCAGUAGGGAAUCUUCCGCAAUGGACGAAAGUCUGACGGAGCAACGCCGCGUGAGUGAUGAAGGCUUUCGGGUCGUAAAACUCUGUUGUUAGGGAAGAACAAGUGCUAGUUGAAUAAGCUGGCACCUUGACGGUACCUAACCAGAAAGCCACGGCUAACUACGUGCCAGCAGCCGCGGUAAUACGUAGGUGGCAAGCGUUAUCCGGAAUUAUUGGGCGUAAAGCGCGCGCAGGUGGUUUCUUAAGUCUGAUGUGAAAGCCCACGGCUCAACCGUGGAGGGUCAUUGGAAACUGGGAGACUUGAGUGCAGAAGAGGAAAGUGGAAUUCCAUGUGUAGCGGUGAAAUGCGUAGAGAUAUGGAGGAACACCAGUGGCGAAGGCGACUUUCUGGUCUGUAACUGACACUGAGGCGCGAAAGCGUGGGGAGCAAACAGGAUUAGAUACCCUGGUAGUCCACGCCGUAAACGAUGAGUGCAAAGUGUUAGAGGGUUUCCGCCCUUUAGUGCUGAAGUUAACGCAUUAAGCACUCCGCCUGGGGAGUACGGCCGCAAGGCUGAAACUCAAAGGAA